UACGUAGGGUGCAAGCGUUAAUCGGAAUUACUGGGCGUAAAGCGUGCGCAGGCGGCUUUGCAAGACAGAUGUGAAAUCCCCGGGCUUAACCUGGGAACUGCAUUUGUGACUGCAUGGCUAGAGUGCGGUAGAGGGUAGUGGAAUUCCCGGUGUAGCGGUGAAAUGCGUAGAGAUCGGGAGGAACACCAGUGGCGAAGGCGGCUACCUGGACCAGCACUGACACUGAGGCACGAAAGCGUGGGGAGCAAACAGG
rnacentral:rRNA from 1 species